rnacentral:rRNA from 1 species
UAGUCCACGCCGUAAACGAUGGAUACUUGGUGUUGGAGGUAUUGACCCCUUCAGUGCCGAAGCUAACGCGUUAAGUAUCCCGCCUGGGGAGUACGGUCGCAAGAUUAAAACUCAAAGAAAUUGACGGGGGCCCGCACAAGCGGUGGAGCAUGUGGUUUAAUUCGAUGCAACGCGAAAAACCUUACCUGGGCUCGAAAUGUAGUGGAGGAUAGCAGAAAUGUUAUUGCCUUCGGGCCGCUAUAU